GGGGUCAUAGCUCAGAUGGGAGAGCGCUUGAAUGGCAUUCAAGAGGUCGACGGUUCGAUCCCGUCUGGCUCCACCA
rnacentral:tRNA from 1 species